CGAUUUCAUUUUCAAAAAAGAAAAUGUUUUAACGACUAAGGUCUCGACAAUAGUUGGAAUAAGUGUCGGAGUUGGUAUAAUUUUUGUUGGAUUGUUAGUUGCAAGUUACUGUUUGGGUUAUUACAGGCAUAAGAAGAUGACGAAUAAAAAUAAAAAAGAAAUGAACGACAACAAUGGUUUAACCAGUUAUCAAGAACUUGCACAUUUGUCUAAAGGUAAUAUUGAUUACCAAAAGUUGAAUGCUGGUAAUAAAGUUAUCGAAAAUAAUAAAAGUUUGUCUAAAAUUGAUUAUCAGAACGUUACUGUUUCGGAACCAAACUAUAAUUAUGUCGACCCGAAAUUUAGCUGAAACGUUAUUUUUUUUUGGAUGCUGUUAAAACUCUUAAAGAAAAUGUGUAUUAAUUUUAGUUUAAGUUUAUAUAACUUGUAUUUUUAAAAUGAUAUUAACAGUUAAACAUGGAGCUAAAGAGUC
rnacentral:lncRNA from 1 species